rnacentral:rRNA from 1 species
CCUACGGGAGGCAGCAGUGAGGAAUAUUGGUCAAUGGGCGGAAGCCUGAACCAGCCAAGUAGCGUGCAGGAUGACGGCCCUACGGGUUGUAAACUGCUUUUAUACGGGAAUAACGCGCCUUACGUGUAGGGCUUUGCAUGUACCGUAUGAAUAAGGACCGGGUAAUUCCGUGCCAGCAGCCGCGGUAAUACGGAAGGUCCGGGCGUUAGCCGGGUGUAUUGGGUUUAACGGGAGGGUAGGGCGAGUGUCAAGCGUGCUGUGAAAUGGCCGGGCUCAACCCGGGCCUUGCAGCGGGAACUGGAGUGCUUGAGUCAGCGGAAAGCAGGCGGAAUUCGUCGUGUAGCGGUGAAAUGCUGAGAUAUGACGAAGAACCCCGAGUGCGAAGGCAGCUUGCUGCAGCGGAACUGACGCUGAUGCUCGAAAGCGCGGGUAUCGAACAGGAUUAGAUACCCUUGUAGUC